CGCAUCCCCCAUCUGCAGCCCGCCUUCCUCUGCCUCCUGAGCGCGGACUCCUUCUCACGGGCGGAACUGCUGCGCGCCGAGCGCCGCAUCCUGAGCCGCCUGGAUUUCCGGCUGCACUACCCGGGCCCGCUGCUGUGCCUCGGGCUGCUGGCCGCGCUGGCAGGGAGCAGCCCCCAGGUGAUGCUACUUGCCACCUACCUCCUGGAGCUGUCUUUGCUGGAGGCCGAGGCGGCGGGAUGGGAGCCGGGUCGUCGUGCGGCUGCGGCUCUGAGCCUGGCGCACCGCUUGCUCGACGGGGCGUCCUCCAGGCUCCAGCCAGAACUUUACAGCCCCGAGGAACUGGGCACCCUCGAGCCGUGCAUGGCCCGCGCUGCACUCCGAGGUCCCGCGCCCGGUCGCGCCGCAAUCUUCCUCAAGUAUGCGCGGCCCCAGCGCCAGGGGACCAGCCUUGCCGCCGCCUGCCUGCUCCGCCGCCUCCAGUCUGAGCCUCCCUGAGUACUGAGACUCAGUCACAAAAAAAUCAACAAAAAACAAAACCCUCCCAGUGUGUAUCCGUCUCUUAUCUCAAUAAAAGAAUUUAUUUUA
rnacentral:sRNA from 1 species